rnacentral:rRNA from 1 species
UACGUAGGGGGCAAGCGUUGUCCGGAUUUAUUGGGCGUAAAGAGCGUGUAGGCGGCCAUACAGGUCAGCUGUGAAAACUCGAGGCUCAACCUCGAGACGUCGGUUGAAACCGUAUGGCUAGAGUCCGGAAGAGGAGAGUGGAAUUCCCGGUGUAGCGGUGAAAUGCGCAGAUAUCAGGAAGAACACCCGUGGCUAAGGCGGCUCUCUAGUACGGUACUGGACGCUGAGACGGCGAAAGCGUGGGGAGCGAACAGG